GAUGCAAUUCUUCUAGGUGCUGAGACAAUGUGGGGGUUGUACCCUAUUGAAACUAUCUAUAUUGUUGGUAAAAUUUGCGUUGAGGUUAAUUGCCAAGUACAAGCCUACCAUGCCGGUGCUUUCUGUUGUUAUCCAACACCUUAAAACAAAUCAACUUUGCUGGACAUUUACAGGCGGUUUUGAGGUGGACGAAGAUAGCAGGAACUGAUCUUUUGCUUGGUGAUGUUGUGUCAGUCGGUUGCGCUGCUGGUCAAGAUGGAGAGGAAAAAACUGUCCCCGCAGAUAUGCUUAUUCUCGCAGGAACUGCUAUUGUAAACGAGGCUAUCCUUACCGGCGAGUCAACGCCCCAAUGGAAGAGUGCAAAAACAAACCUAAAUGUGGAGCAAGUUUUCUUUUCAAUAGCAACAGAUAUCAAGCAAAGACUUACAGAAACCGACACCAAGGCCGAGGGCUUGGCUGAGAAGUACAAGAAAACCGUUGCGCAAGUGGUUCUGCGAUGGGGCAUACAAUGAAACACCAUAAUCAUCCCUAAAUCAUUGAAGCAAGAACGAAUUGAAGAGAAUUACAAAGUGUUUGACUUUGAGUUGACCAAUAAGGAGAUGAAGAACCAUAAAAUGGCCAAGGAAAUGAAGAACCAUAAAAUUGCCAAAUCCUAUGAUAAAAGAAUUGAUCAUAUGUUUGUAUGUCUUGAUCAGUGCAUUCUUGUCUGUGACAGCUAGAACGUAAAUUUGCUAUGUGUUUCCUCAUGUGUGUGAUUACAGGCCAAAGAAACAUGUAUGCAUGCAUGUUAAAUGUAAAGGAAACACUUUUGUUUCGAACUUAAUCAAAUUUAUUUGCAAAUAUACAGAGUGUCAAGAC